UACGGAGGGUGCAAACGUUGCUCGGAAUCAUUGGGCGUAAAGCGCACGUAGGCGGCCUGUUAAGUCGGGUGUGGAAGCCCUGGGCUCAACCCAGGAAGUGCACUCGAAACUGGCGGGCUUGAAUAUGGAAGAGGGUCGCGGAAUUCCCGGUGUAGAGGUGAAAUUCGUAGAUAUCGGGAGGAACACCAGUGGCGAAGGCGGCGACCUGGGCCAAUAUUGACGCUGAGGCACGAAAGCGUGGGGAGCGAACAGG
rnacentral:rRNA from 1 species